ACACUGUUCCUUCAUUUAUGAUCCCGUCCCUUUCAGGGAGAUCAGGGCCCUCCAGGGUUUCCAGGACUACCGGGCUCGGAGGGUCCAGAGGGGAUGCCUGGUCCCGGGGGUCCAUCUGGCCCUCCUGGGCCCCCAGGUCCUCCUUGGAGAGGCCUCGACAUGGACUUUGAGGACAUGGAAGGAUCCGGGAUGCAGAGUGGUUUUGGAGCUGCGCUGCCCACCGGCCCACAGGGUCCUCCAGGAACCCCCGGACUCCAGGGACCCGAGGGGAAAGGCGGUUCAGACGGCUCCCCGGGAACGCCGGGGCUCAAGGUGAGUCUGCUGCCGCCGGGUCCCGGUCCCGGAGAGAGCCCCGUUUAGGGGGUCCUCGCAU
rnacentral:lncRNA from 1 species